rnacentral:rRNA from 1 species
GAUGAACGCUGGCGGCGUGCCUAAUACAUGCAAGUCGAGCGAACGGACGAGAAGCUUGCUUCUCUGAUGUUAGCGGCGGACGGGUGAGUAACACGUGGAUAACCUACCUAUAAGACUGGGAUAACUUCGGGAAACCGGAGCCAAUACCGGAUAAUAUUUUGAACCGCAUGGUUCAAAAGUGAAAGACGGUCUUGCUGUCACUUAUAGAUGGAUCCGCGCUGCAUUAGCUAGUUGGUAAGGUAACGGCUUACCAAGGCAACGAUGCAUAGCCGACCUGAGAGGGUGAUCGGCCACACUGGAACUGAGACACGGUCCAGACUCCUACGGGAGGCAGCAGUAGGGAAUCUUCCGCAAUGGGCGAAAGCCUGACGGAGCAACGCCGCGUGAGUGAUGAAGGUCUUCGGAUCGUAAAACUCUGUUAUUAGGGAAGAACAUAUGUGUAAGUAACUGUGCACAUCUUGACGGUACCUAAUCAGAAAGCCACGGCUAACUACGUGCCAGCAGCCGCGGUAAUACGUAGGUGGCAAGCGUUAUCCGGAAUUAUUGGGCGUAAAGCGCGCGUAGGCGGUUUUUUAGUCUGAUGUGAAAGCCCACGGCUCAACCGUGGAGGGUCAUUGGAAACUGGAAAACUUGAGUGCAGAAGAGGAAAGUGGAAUUCCAUGUGUAGCGGUGAAAUGCGCAGAGAUAUGGAGGAACACCAGUGGCGAAGGCGACUUUCUGGUCUGUAACUGACGCUGAUGUGCGAAAGCGUGGGGAUCAAACAGGAUUAGAUACCCUGGUAGUCCACGCCGUAAACGAUGAGUGCUAAGUGUUAGGGGGUUUCCGCCCCUUAGUGCUGCAGCUAACGCAUUAAGCACUCCGCCUGGGGAGUACGACCGCAAGGUUGAAACUCAAAGGAAUUGACGGGGACCCGCACAAGCGGUGGAGCAUGUGGUUUAAUUCGAAGCAACGCGAAGAACCUUACCAAAUCUUGACAUCCUUUGACAACUCUAGAGAUAGAGCUUUCCCCUUCGGGGGACAAAGUGACAGGUGGUGCAUGGUUGUCGUCAGCUCGUGUCGUGAGAUGUUGGGUUAAGUCCCGCAACGAGCGCAACCCUUAAGCUUAGUUGCCAUCAUUAAGUUGGGCACUCUAAGUUGACUGCCGGUGACAAACCGGAGGAAGGUGGGGAUGACGUCAAAUCAUCAUGCCCCUUAUGAUUUGGGCUACACACGUGCUACAAUGGACAAUACAAAGGGCAGCGAAACCGUGAGGUCAAGCAAAUCCCAUAAAGUUGUUCUCAGUUCGGAUUGUAGUCUGCAACUCGACUACAUGAAGCUGGAAUCGCUAGUAAUCGUAGAUCAGCAUGCUACGGUGAAUACGUUCCCGGGUCU